rnacentral:tRNA from 1 species
GCGCAGGUGGUAGAGUGGUCAAUUACAUGAGACUGUAAAUCUCACGCCUUCGGGCUUCGGGGGUUCGAAUCCCUCCCUGCGCA